rnacentral:misc_RNA from 1 species
GAGAGAGAGAGAGAGAGAGAACAGCAUUCCAUUAGGUAAGCAACAUAGAAGAUAAACUGGUAGUCUCAAGUUACGCAACUAUCAGGUAUAUUCCAUGCUUUUAAAAUAAAAAAGCAAAUGAUAUGACAAUUUGCUUCUCAUUAUUUUUUACUCCAUUCAAAUCCAUGACUAGCAUCUUUCACAGAAACAAAGCAACCAUUUAAAGCAAAAUAUCACUGAAAACACCAACAUAC